rnacentral:lncRNA from 1 species
ACCAACUAAUAAGGCAUGCACUGUGUACUCUGGGGGAGGGAUGUUGAAGUCCUGCCUUUGAUUUUAGCUCAUUGUGGCUUUCUUACCCUCCUGGGUUUCCCCACACGGUACUGGGUACUGGAGCCCUCCUCGCUGAUUGAUAAUUGCCGGCUGGUGCUGCAGCACAGUGCAAAUUGUCCUUGCUAACAACCUCUUCUGCUCUUGGAUUCCGCUCAGCGGUGGAAAGGGUCAGUUUUAGAUUUCUGCAACUCCCCAGCGAGGGAGACAGACCGACUUUAUAGGAGAACAUGUGAUAGGCAGAAAAAGCCAUGUGGCAGUAUUCCUAGGUUGAUUUUAUUUUGGUCCCAAGAACAUGGCACUCCUUCUGAUACCCCAACCCCCAGGCUAGGUAGACCCAAGUUCCACCUGAGGAAAGAUUCACCCACCGCCUGCGUUCCCAGUCUGCCCUGCCGGCCUGACCUUCAUGCCCAGAUGGGAGGGAGGCCUAGGCCUCCUAACAAUGGCCUGGACGCUAAAUGUUCCUUCCCUUCCUUUCAUCAAGCCCUCGUCAAUUUGUCAGAAAUAAGAUGAGAUCCAUUGCUCCCCAAAGGCCGUUUGAGCCACUAACUUCCUUAGAGUACUUCAGAUUAAUGCAAUAUGGAGAUUCAGAUGACUACUGGCUGUGGCAUGGAGAAUGGGAUAGGAGAAGUGUAAGGGAAGAGGUGAGGGCCCGGAUGUGAAGUAGCUGAAGUAGAAUCUAAACAGGGUGUUGCACAAGGUCUGGCAGUGGACCCUGAAAAGAUGCAUGCAAAACACAUUUCAAAAGUGUGAUGGACAGGACAGGAGGUCAGGUGUAUGGCAGUGAAGGAGUCAAGGUUUCAUAACUCAGUGGGCUGUGAGAGCCUUUAUGUAGGUAAAGGACACUAGGAGAAGGCUAGUUUGGAAGGAAGACCGUGAACUUUAUUGAGUCUUGGGUCAGCUUCUAGUCCCUCUGAGGCAAUCAAACAAGUCAAGAAGGUAGCAGAGUUAUUUGGCUUGGAGAUUUUAAGUUCAUGAGUCACUGAUCUAUAGACAAUAGUAAUUGAGAUGGAAGAGAUGGGUGAAACUGUUGAGGGAAUUGGAAAAGAAGACCAAGGGCAGGGAGGGCUGGGGAUUUAGCUCAGUGGUGCUGCUACAAGUGCAAGGUCCUGAGUUUGAUCCCUGGUACAAAAAAAAAAAAAAAAGACCAAGGGCAAGGAAUUGAAGAACUUGUAAAGCUGGAUUGUCAGAAUGAGUCGACGCAGGGCCUGGAGGGUGAGCAGCUGCAGAGGAAGGAGGAAAACCAGCAAAGUAUAUUGCCAUAAAAGCUAAAUAGAAGCGGGUCUUGAGGAAUCUCCCUGGAGAGAUGGGGCUCCUGCAGAGGUGCUCGUGGCUAUGUAGAGUACGUCUUUCCUGAGGUUCUUCUUUACCUGUGGAACAGCCUGGGAACCGAGAGGGUACAGAGCUAGCAACUGCAUCAAGGACUCCUGAACCCUGCUUCUGGUAUGAGAAAGUCUAACUUCUAGACAAAGUGGAUGUUGAAGCAACACGACACUAUGAAAUUCACCACUUGCUUCAUUCCUUUG